rnacentral:lncRNA from 1 species
CAUGACUGACUAAAGCAUCGUGGAAACUAUGGUGAGUGGGCGAUAUGUGAAGCUCGCUAUAAAAGUGCCAGCUCUCUCAUAUGCAGGUGACAUAUAGCACGGGAGUCUUUGAGAUAACGAGUCCUUGGCCAACGGAGCAAGAUACUUCUUAAUCUGUCUUUGAACCACUUACACAGGAACAGGCUUGUCUCUCGCUCGUGGGACAUCACCCUGAACACGGGACUACAUGUAUAGGACUUAAGUAAUUACUUAACUAACGAUCCAGCUCAUGCAUGCAUGCGUUCCAAACGUGCUAGCCUUGUCUUAAUUGGUACCCGGAAUAAAAUGACCAGUUCUAUCGGAUUGUUCAUCAGCGUUUGAAAGAAUCGCGCUUCCCUCCGUGAGCGGGACGGUUUACACUACCGGAGCAGCCCUGAGAGGCGUGCGAGAUUUCCACGUUGAGCGACGUUAAUACUCCAAGGGAGUUUGGAAAUCGGCGCCGGAGUGACAGCAAGGAGGCGGGGAUACGUGGACGGAAAUGGGCCAACAUGGCCCCCUCACACACAAACGCGUUGCCGGCUAGAACACAACACGGAUAUCGAUAUAGCUUUACAAAGCGUACAUCACAAGAUGCACCCAUACCGACCAUGGGCAGUACAUUCACUCUACAACUGUUACAGCUGAUAAUUACACUUCUUGCUCUCAGCGAGUGUCUCCCCAUCCCUACGGGAGGGACCACCCCGGGUAUCACAUCUCAGUACCCCGUCACCAAUGCAUUGCCCGUACCAUUCACUGCAGAUGCCACGAGGGCAGUCAUUCAAAGCAUGGAGAAACUUUGGAUCCAAAGAUUCGAGAAUUCGGACUAUUUUAAACAAUUGCCGAAAGGUCUCCAAGAGGAUGUGAAAGAAUUUUUGAACUCAAGGACCCGAAAUAUUCUUGAAGGGGACCAAAGUUUGAAUUCUCAGGAAAAUAAUUUAAGGAAUAAUAUUCCUUCCCCUCGGGGAGGGGAUUCCAUAUCUGUAAGUGACUCUCUUAAGUCAAAAGAAAUCACAUUAGAGGCGAAAGACCCAGGUCCCGAGAGCCCGAGUUUGGACAAGUCUAAAAGUAGUAACAUUACAGUGGUCGUUGAGCCGACCAGGGCUGGACAUCGGUCAAAGAGGAGCUAUGGACGAUCGUAUCUGGACAAUAGGAUAUCCCCGUACCUCUCUGGUGGCCCAAUUGACAUUACAUACACCCAUGUUGUGCCGUGCGUGUAUGCCGAUCGGUACUACUGUCUUAACGGAGGAACAUGUGUGUUUGUGGGAGCGCUGGACUUAAAAACCUGCAGGUGCCCGAUGGGCUACACGGGUCUCCGCUGUGAAAUGAUUGACCAGGAGUAUAUUCUCAGCCUUCUCACCAAUUCUAUCAUGUUCGACUGAAGCAACACUUGGGUGACCGAACGGAAAACGCAGACGACUAUUGGUUGGCAUCAAUUGUGGCGCCGUAGCCUGUCAUUCGCCUCACUCGCUCCUUGCUGUCUUCUGCCAGCCGGCUUGUUGUCCCUGGCAACCAGCUGGACCAGACCAGGCUGCCAUCUUCCGGCUAAAACCUACAACUGAUAGGUGGCGCGCCGUCACCAGAAGGACACGCGUCUUGGUGAUGGGUAUCUUUAAAGCGACGUAUCAAGGAUGUGAGGGCCUUCCUUUGAAGUAUGGUAAUUGCAGCUUCAGUUUCGCCACGGUUUGGGAACGCUUGCUGCUGUUACAGUAUUUUCUUCAUAUAAGUCUCUCCCUUCUCCAUCCCUGCCCUUUAUUCUUCAGGCUGCAAAACGGUCAUGUUUUGGGAGGAACGGUGGUCUGACUGGAGUGAAAACCCCUUUCAAUCUAGAAGCAGCCAUAUUUUCACCAAUAAAUUUCCCGCCACUUGGCUCACGUGAUAUGGUGUCGUCUGAUUCCCUCCCGAUCCUCGCUCUUCCAACCACGUGAUUUUCGUGCAUCCUGUCUUAUUUAAUUUGCUGUAAAUCAAGAAACUGACGGACCAGUCUUCAUAUAAUUUCUGUAUGUCUAAUAAGGAGUGUUUCUGCAAUGGUGGAAUGUGGGACGCGAUCUGCACGUGCAUGUAUACCCGGAGAACACGUGUAGAGAAGGAGGAUGUCGAAAGGAGAACGAACUAUGGUGUCCUCAGACUGACGUGGUAUAUAUAUUGUGCUAAGUUGGGCAAAAUCAUCAAUUCAACUUCGGUUUGUUUGAGACCUUAACGAGCUCCGACACACUGCGUGAAUCUCGUCCCGGAGAGUUGAUAAUUGGGUGCUUUGACGUCACCUGCUGGAUGAACUUGGGCGGACCAUUUAACAUGUUGACCCGCCCCAAUUUAUCACGUGAUGUUUGUCACGUGGUUACGGGUAACGGGUACGGUUGUGAGCACACGUGACUCGGUUUGUCUAAAGACUAUCAGAAAAUGUCCCGUAGUCUUUUUAAGGAUUUCAUAACAUGGGACAUUGUUGGUAUUCACGGAUGAGAGACAGUGGUCAUAUUGUUACUAUUGAAAUCUGUUACUUUUUAAAGACAGAAUCAUGACAGAAUCAGGAGGUUCGCUCUUGGAAGCCGAGACCCUACAUCGUCUUUUAUCUUAAUGGUGUCAGAUCUUUAUGAUGUAAUAACAUCACUGGUCUAAAUGUCGACCUUUAGGUGAAGCUGACUGUCAUAAUGACCUGACCUUGACCUGGACUCUUUUACAUGACCUUCUAGGGUCAAGAUGACUUUUUGAGCGAUACCUUUCUCAUCACACGACCUCUCACCUUUGGUGAGACAACAGCUAGAUUUGCCUCAGGCUUUAGUGCUGGUUUGACCUUCGAUUUGUAUGUAUAUUUGGCUCUUGAGUAUUAUGAUUACGACAAGGGGACGGAAACAAUCUGAACUGAAUACGCUCGCAUUGUUAAGUAGAAUCAUUUCAAAGGAACGGAGCGCCCUCGAAUAAACAGAUAUUAUAAAAAUAUAUUCAGUUUGCAAAAGAAAGUAUCAUGUAAAGUCUUUUUUAUGUAUUAAGCAAUGUGCAACUUCAAAGUACAUAUAUUUCAACACGCACAAGUUUCCUCCAGUUUAACAUCAUUCAAAGCAAACUGAAGUGAAAAGCAACGUUUGUUUUGUUCGCGUGCGCUCCUUUACUGUAGUCUCUGCACAAGAUGGAUAGUUUCGCAAACGAUGGUUGUGGCACUUAAGGGGUUAUUGUAAUGUAUUGUUGUGAAAGUUAGUGAAAUAAUAGUUUACGCUACCAUAUUUACAAAUGGCAAUAUAGAGACUGGGUAGAGGACUGAAAAUGGCUGAAGUACAAGAGAACCAAAUGUGAGUUAUAUGCCUCAAAGUUAUUUUUGUAGAUUUUAAUAACAUUGACAACCCUCUUUAAACUUCCCUUCCCUUCUCCAUGCACACGUAUUAUUAGCUCAACGAUGAAUUAAGGGACCUACAACUAUAAAAAUAUUUUAUCAACAUGCACAUACUACCCUGUCGAUCGCGGCUGGGGCACCUCGCACCUCGGUCGCAACUUGGGAUAUUUGUAAUGAUUACUAGUACAAACACAAACGUUUCCACGUUCGCGACCGAGACGCGAAAUAUUCGCGCCCUGGUCGCGAUCAAUAGGGCGUUUGUUUUUCAACAGUGUAUUCGUACCUGGGCUGUAAAAAGUACUAUGUUAUAUUUGUUGGUGUAUUGUUUUUUUUUAAUAUAUUCAGAUUAUUUGCCUUGAGCAAAAAGAAGUUGAUUUUUUUAUGACGUAAUUUGCUUGUUAAAUGGUGUCCCGUCUUCUUGUAACGUCCAGUGUAUCCAUCUUCCCCUAUUAAGCAAUCUAUGUCAAAAUCUCGCGCAUUACACUACAGAGGCACGUGCGAGAAACGAUAGGUUUAUCCACCCAAAUUGGCAAUAUUGUGAAAGCUGGCAUUGCAUUUCUUUGCCGUAAAUUGAAAUCGGAUCGAAUUGUUUACUAGUUGCAUAUCAUUUGCGAUUUUGCGACAUUGGUAUGCCGUUUACUUCGCGGAAUACGUUUUCUUAAGCCAUCUUAACACUUUGGCUGAAGCACAUCUAUGAUUACGAUACGAUAUUACGUAAAUAAGUAGCUUUACUGAAUGGGUGUCAAAAUGAAGCACUGUGCCACUGUAGAAAAAGGCGUAACGACACAGCUGAUUGGAUGAGAGAUUAAAUGCAUUCGAAAUAUACCAGCGCAUUUUUUUUAAUUUAUACCAUGCUAAUCUAUCUUUGUAUAUGAAAAAAAUAAUAACAAAUUAAUAACUAAUUGAUUAGGUUGAUACAAAAUCACCUACUCACGUUGUGUAUGUAUUACCUUGCCGUCAUUUAGGGUAUGGUUCUUCAUUGUGGAGAGGUUAAUAAAUUGUCAGGGCGGUGUGUUAGCCUAGUGGUUAAAGCGUUCGCUCGUCACGCUGAAGACCCGGGUUUAAUUCCCCAAAUGGGUACAAUGUGUGAAGCCCAUUUCUGGUGUCCCCCGCCUGGAUAUUGCUGGAAUAUUGCUAAAAGCGGCGAAAAAUCCAACUCACUCACUCAUAAAUUGCCAUGAUAUUGCUGAAACGUUACCGAUAGUGGAAGCGGGCUGUGGGUUUUGAAUUAUAAAAGCGUUCGGUUUGUAGUCGAAUGCUUCUGUUUCUAUUACAAACAACAUUUCCUAUUGGUUGCGGUUCACAGAGUAUACUUUAUCAAAACUGAAAAUAUAAAUGUAUACAUAGGUUUAAGGCCUACCUUUGGUUCUGGGUUUAUCAAAACAGUUGUGCCUAUUGCUUACAUGGUUACUUAAGGGUGAUUGUAAACUCCAAUACGACCAUCUGUCAAUUUUAACACCUUUCAGCAGAAAUGUAUCUUUGUUGAUGCUGGAUCUGACAGAUGGUGCAUUCAGACAUACAUAUGUGCUACUGUCUGGCCGCGUAACUAUACUGAUGCUUUUCUUUUAAUCAGAGGCAGGGAAAAGAUGAUUUAAACUGACAUAAUUGUUCACUCGUGAAUGAAAAUAUACCUGUCGUGCGAGUUAUCUCCCUUCGAUACGACCUUCGGCGCUCACUGUCAGUUGUCCAAUAAUAUUACAUAAUUAUAUAUCUCAAUGUACAAAAUAUCUCACAGAUAUACAAUCUAUAGCUUUUAUCUGUCUGCAGAUAGUGCUGCCUCGCAUAUCAUGGUAUUGUUUUGUUCAUACGAUAUUCAAGACAACUUAGUCUGAAGUCAUUCAAGGGGAGAUAACUGCGUUCUGUACUUCUUAUGAACUCUAUAUGACGAAGAUUGACAGAGUGUCUCGUGCUAAUGUGGAUGUACAAAGUCUUUCUUAUAAGGAAAUUAAAGGACAGUUAAUUUUC